CUGCCAGUUCGCCCCACACAGGAUGGAAGGAAGAAGCCAAUUAAGCUGUUUUUCGGUCUGAGCCUGAGACGAGAACGGACGAGUUGUUAGUGCCGCUGGGAAGCCUAGCACUUUGGCCCACACAGGAUGGAAGGAAGAAGCCAAUUAAGCUGUUUUUCGGUCUGAGCCUGAGACGAGAACGGACGAGAUGUUAGUGCCGUUGGGAAGCCUAGUAUUUUGGCCCACACAGGAUGGAAGGAAGAAACCAAUUGAGCUGUUUUUCGGUCUGGGUCUGAGAUGAGAACGGACACAUUGUUAGUGCUGUCGGGAGGCCUAGCAAGUUGGCCCACACAGGAUGGAAGGAAGAAGCCAAUUGAGCUGUUUUUCGGUCAGGGCCUGAGAUGAAAACGGACGAGAUGUUAGUGCUGCUGGGAAGCCUAGUAUGUUGGUCCGCACAGGAAGGAAAGAAAAAGCAAAUACAGUGAUCCGCCCUCCAUCGCGGGGUUACAUUCCAGACCCACCCGCGAUAAGUGAAAAUCCGCUAAAUAGAAAUCCUCUAUUCAAAUCCACCCUCGGCAUGUUUUUAUAACUCUUACGGUAGUUUUCAAAGCAUUGUGAGGUCUUUAAACACACUUUUAAAACAAUAUAAACACACCUUACACUGUAGGGGUAGAAACAAAGAAGGGAAGGAAGGAG